GGGCCCGGAGCCAGACCGCGGGGCGCCCCCGGCCUAGCCGGAGGGCUGCUUCGAAACUCCCCCCCCAGCCCCCGCCGAGGGAACUGUGGCCUCAGCCAGAGGGCGGUAUCGACCCUCCCAACCCCCUGCCUCAAAAGACGACAUCGACCCCCAAACAACCCCAGCCUCAGCCACCAGCCAAGAGAACCCCAGUUCCUAUCCGAGGCGAGCGUGGCCCCCCAAUCCCCAGCUUAAAGAGUCUCUGUGAAUCCUAGGCCAGAGGAAGUCAGGGACGCCCCUGCCCCAGGGAGAGGGCAGCAUCUCCCCCACCCCUACCAGGCGCCCCUUUGAGCCUCCUCUACCGAUGGAGGUCAUGGACGCCCCUGCCCCACGUGAAGGAUGCUCCUGGCCCUUCCCCCACCCUCCCGGCCCCCGGACUCUGGUCCCGGAACAGGGCGCGCUCCGAAGCUCCUCGCCUGAACUGACCUCGGCCUGCAGGCAGCCGGGGAGUCGGUCGUCUGGAAAGAAAAAAAAAAAAGUUGCAGCUCCGGCGAAGCCCAGCCACCCUCCCUCCCUGGCCCAGGUGAGAAAACCGGGUCCCAAAAAAACAGUGAUUCGGCCAAGAUCACAGAUAAAUAAGAUGUCCUGCCUCCAGAUCAAUUUUCUUUGCUAUCUUCUCCUCCAACUUCUCCCAAGACUAUGAGCUCUCUGAAGAGAGGGACUGUUCGGGGUUUUGUUCAUCAAAACCCAGGAGGAGCCUAACCCCUUCUCAGAGGCACUGUACAGGGUAUAUAAAUGUUUGUUGGCCCCAGAAAGUUGUAGAUGGGAAAGCAGAAUAAAGAUCAGUGAAAGGCAUAUUUGCUUGGUGGC
rnacentral:lncRNA from 1 species